GACGAACGCUGGCGGCGUGCUUAACACAUGCAAGUCGAACGAAGAGCGAUGGAAGCUUGCUUCUAUCAAUCUUAGUGGCGAACGGGUGAGUAACGCGUAAUCAACCUGCCCUUCAGAGGGGGACAACAGUUGGAAACGACUGCUAAUACCGCAUACGAUCUAAUCUCGGCAUCGAGGAUAGAUGAAAGGUGGCCUCUACAUGUAAGCUAUCACUGAAGGAGGGGAUUGCGUCUGAUUAGCUAGUUGGAGGGGUAACGGCCCACCAAGGCGAUGAUCAGUAGCCGGUCUGGGGGGAUGACGGGCCACAUGGGGCCAGAGACAGGGCCCAGCCCCAGACGGGAGGCGGCGGUGGGAAAUCUCCCGAAAGGGAGGAAAGUCGGCGGGGGAAACCCCGGGUGGGUGAUGCCGGCCUUCGGUUUGAAAAGCUCUGUUAAUGGGGCCGAAAGGCCUUUUUGCGAAUAGUGAGAGGGAUUGAGGGAACCGAAAUAGAAAGCCACGGCUAACUCCGUG
rnacentral:rRNA from 1 species